rnacentral:tRNA from 1 species
GGGGGAUUAGUUUAGUGGUAGAACAACGGUCUCCAAAACCGUAAGCGGGCGUUCGAUUCGCUCAUCCCCUGCCA